AAUCAAUAAAAAUCAAUUUCCUGAUCUAAUUUUAUAUUGAAAUGAACAAAAUAACUAAAAAUUAAAUUUGAAAUCAUCAUCUUUUUGACGGACGGAACUCCCAGCUUCUUCACCAGGUCGGAUAUAUACUCGCAUUUUCGAAUAAUAUUGGAAGUUUUAUUUCAACAAAGACAAUUUAUUGUUGGGGUAUGUAUUGCCUUGCAUUCUAUUUGAUUAGUUUAUGUGUUUUUCAAUUAUUUUGCAAAAUAAAGGAAUUAGAAUAAUGUAGAUGAUGAACAAUGAACGUCUGUCAAAAAAGCAACGUUCGCAAAAAACUGUCCAUCGACUCGGUUAUUGUGUGAUUAUGUAUUGGGUGGGGAUUCAAAGUUAGUGUUAAACUUGGUACUUUCUGGUUUUACAGGUGGUUUCUUAAGUUUUGAAGCCAUAACCAGAAAUUUUAUUGAAAAAAGGUUGCGAUCAUAAUUUCUGUCAAUUUUAGUGAAUGACGUUCGCACAUUUGUUCCUCAGUUUUAUAGCUGUUACUUCCCUUUUUUGCAUAGUGACAAGAAACUACGAUUAAAUCCGUAAGUAUCCGAAUGCAAAAACAUGGCCAAAUUGAGACGCUCGAUUACAUGAUCCAAAUUAUUUUGAUUUGCAGAAAGGUAGACUUGUGGCGAUGAUUUGGCGGACAGUUUGAUUGAAGACAUUGGUAUACCUGCUUCCAAGCAAAGUGACUCGAAGCAUUUGAAGACUUGUGGCGAUGAUUUGGCGGACAGUUUGAUUGAAGACAUUGGUAUACCUGCUUCCAAGCAAAGGUUGUUCAAACCCAUGAACUGCACAGAGAGGAGAAAGUCUAUGGAUUGUGGGUCCAGUUCUAUAAGAAAGGAAAGCGACAAUUAUGGACAUUGGAGGAGAAAUCUUUCUUUGUUUGUUGUUAAACAACUUGCUGAACCUUUACUGUCUAUGCAUGGAUCUAGAUUAUACUACAAAUUUCAAGUGUUUGGUGUACAGUUACACUUAAUAGCCCAUCAGAAAGGCCGACAUGGUGACUGGUGCUUUUACAUCCAAUUUGGUGCAGACUGUUUUCAUACUUUCUUACAAAAACUGUUAGAAAUAUAAUAGGGCUGGGAACGAAUAAGGAAUUCGAUGUUCGAAUAUUCGUUUUUCCAUAUUCGAAUAUAUUCGAAUAUUCGUUUUUACAACAUUUGUUCCAAUAUUUCUCUUUGACGUAUACGUAUCCAAAAUUGAUUGCGUCGAAUACUAUACUACUUUAAAAUGCUUGGAAUAAUCGGCGAUUAAAAAGACCUUUAUUGCUAUGUCGAAGUUUUUUUAAUUUAUAUAUUGUAAAUCGAGAUAUAUGUUUACUUUUGAAAUAAAUUCAUAAUUUGA